rnacentral:rRNA from 1 species
AUGCAAGUCGAGCGCGAAAGUGAACUUCGGUUCGCGAGUAGAGCGGCGAAAGGGUGAGUAACGCAUAGGUAACCUACCCCUGACUCUGGUAUAGCCUCUGGAAACGGAGGGUAAUCCCGGAUGGUCCCGACGGGCGGAAUCGUCUGUCGGGUAAAGGUUGGGAUCUUCGGACCUUCCGGUCAGGGAGGGACUUAUGCCCCAUCAGCUAGUUGGUGAGGUAAUGGCUCACCAAGGCAUUGACGGGUAGCCGGACUGAGAGGUUGGCCGGUCACACUGGGACUGAGACACUGCCCAGACUCCUACGGGAGGCUGCAGUCGAGAAUCUUCCGCAAUGGGCGCAAGCCUGACGGAGCAACGCCGCGUGGGGGAUGAAGGCCUUCGGGUUGUAAACCCCUGACACGGAUUAUGAAUGGCAGUGCGUUAACAGCGUGCUGUUUGACAAAGGUCCGAGAGGAAGCCACGGCUAACUCUGUGCCAGCAGCCGCGGUAAUACAGAGGUGGCAAGCGUUGCUCGGAAUCACUGGGCAUAAAGGGCGUCUAGGCGGACAGGUCAGUCGGUUGUGAAAUCCCUCGGCUUAACCGAGGAACUGCAGCCGAUACUGCUUGUCUUGAGGAUGAGAGGGGAGAGUGGAACUCCUGGUGGAGCGGUGAAAUGCGUAGAUAUCAGGAGGAACGCCGGCGGCGAAAGCGACUCUCUGGCUCAUUCCUGACGCUGAAGCGCGAAAGCCAGGGGAGCGAACGGGAUUAGAUACCCCGGUAGUCCUGGCCGUAAACGAUGAGCACUAAGUAGAGGGGUUUU